rnacentral:rRNA from 1 species
AUUGAACGCUGGCGGCAGGCCUAACACAUGCAAGUCGAGCGGAUGAAGGGAGCUUGCUCCUGGAUUCAGCGGCGGACGGGUGAGUAAUGCCUAGGAAUCUGCCUGGUAGUGGGGGAUAACGUCCGGAAACGGGCGCUAAUACCGCAUACGUCCUGAGGGAGAAAGUGGGGGAUCUUCGGACCUCACGCUAUCAGAUGAGCCUAGGCCGGAUUAGCUAGUUGGUGGGGUAAAGGCCUACCAAGGCGACGAUCCGUAACUGGUCUGAGAGGAUGAUCAGUCACACUGGAACUGAGACACGGUCCAGACUACUACGGGAGGCAGCAGUGGGGAAUAUUGGACAAUGGGCGAAAGCCUGAUCCAGCCAUGCCGCGUGUGUGAAGAAGGUCUUCGGAUUGUAAAGCACUUUAAGUUGGGAGGAAGGGCAGUAAGUUAAUACCUUGCUGUUUUGACGUUACCAACAGAAUAAGCACCGGCUAACUUCGUG